rnacentral:rRNA from 1 species
CUGGAUUAGUGGCGGACGGGUGAGUAACACGUAAGUAAUCAACCCAUGACAGAAGGAUAACUAAGAGAAAUUUUAGCUAAAACUUCAUAAAUUAAGACUACGGGAGUAGACUUAAAGAAAACUGAGGUGGUCAUGGACGAGCUUGCGACUGAUUAGCCAGUUGGUGAGGUAACGGCCCACCAAAGCAACGAUCAGUAGCCGACCUGAGAGGGUGAUCGGCCACAUUGGUACUGAGAACGGACCAAACUCC